rnacentral:rRNA from 1 species
GUGAACGCUGGCGGUAGGCCUAACUCAUGCAAGUCGAACGGCAGCACAGUAAGAGCUUGCUCUUACGGGUGGCGAGUGGCGGACGGGUGAGGAAUACAUUGGAAUCUACUUUUUCGUGGGGGAUAACGUAGGGAAACUUACUCUAAUACCGCAUACGACCUACGGGUGAAGGCCGUGGAUCUUCGGCCCUUGCGCGGUUGAAUGAGCCGAUGUCGGAUUAGCUAGUUGGCGGGGUAAAGGCCCACCAAGGCGACGAUCCGUAGCUGGUCUGAGAGGAUGAUCAGCCACACUGGAACUGAGACACGGUCCAGACUCCUACGGGAGGCAGCAGUAGGGAAUAUUCGACAAUGGGCGCAAGCCUGAUGCAGCCAUACCGCGUGAGUGAAGAAGGCCUUCGGGUUGUAAAGCCCUUUUGUUGGGAAAGAACAGCAGCAGGUUAAUACCCCGCUGUUCUGACGGUACCCAAAGAAUAAGCACCGGCUAACUUCGUG